AACGCACAUUGCGCCCCUUGGUAUUCCGAGGGGCAUGCCUGUUCGAGCGUCAUUAUGACCACUCAAGCCUAGCUUGGUAUUGGGGUUCGCGGUCUCGCGGCCUCUAAAAUCAGUGGCGGUGCCGUCUGGCUCUAAGCGUAGUAAUUUUCUCGCUAUGGGGUCCGGACAGUCGCUUGCCUAAACCCCCAACUUCUCACGGUUGACCUCGGAUCAGGUAGGGAUACCCGCUGAACUUAA
rnacentral:misc_RNA from 1 species